UUUCCGUAGGUGAACCUGCGGAAGGAUCAUUAUUGUAUAACCGAGGUUCAAGUACUGUCGCUGACCCGAUAGCACUUGCACGCCCGAGUUCCCUCACACACAUCCAUCUCACCCCUAUAUUAACCACCGCGUCGGUCCCGCUUUGGCUUGUUCGCAGGGGGUCUUACGGUUUCACACAAACGUAGGAUGCAGUGGGGAAUGUAUUUUUUGUUUUUUCUAUCACUCAAUCGAUACAACUUACAACAACUGAUCUUUUGGCUCUUUCAUCUAUGAAGAACC
rnacentral:misc_RNA from 1 species